GGGUCGGUGGUGUAGUGGUAACAUGUGCCGCGGCUACAGUCUUUCCUGCGACAAGUCUCAGGUUCAAAUCCUGGCUGACCUA